GCACCAGUGGUGUAGUGGUAUCAUGCAAGUUUCCCAUUCUUGCGACCUGGGUUCAAUUCCAGGCUGGUGCA